UGGCAGCGCAGGUGACGCUGGGGUCGACUUGACUGCUCGGUCGGUAUGUCAGGGAAUUUUAAGAAUUUUGGAAUUUCAUGGACGUGUGGUACAUAAUUAACAUUUAUGGGAGAUUCUGUGGGUGUCAUGUUUGAAACAAUGCACGUGAAUAUUGUCCAAGGGAGGCAAGUGACAGGAAAUUGUUAGAGACAUAAGUGUAGGAUUCCGAGGGGGACAUUUGCUGCAGGAUUUUUUUUGAGCUUCCAAGAUCAUGCUUGUAAGCUGCAAGCACAAGGAGCUUUUUUAAUGGAAAUCGCAUUUUCGCCCCUGUGAAAGGUGCUCUCCUUGAUGAGUUGUUCUCAGAUAACCAAUUGUCCAUGUGAAUUUCCUCGAUUUUACUUGAAAACUGUCAGGUAAAUGAGUUCUGGUAUAAAACUGAAGGUUCACAAACCCUUCAUGCAUCUCGACGUGGACAAGGGUUCAUAUAAUCGAUUCACCAACUGUUACUAUGGAAUUCAAACAAUAGCAAAGAAUUCUCUAUUGUCUCGAGAGUUCUGUUCUUCGAAAGAGCUUCAAGAAUCAUUGGGUUGUUGAAUAAAUGAAGUCAUUGAUUUCAUAAUCAUUUUAUCCAAUACAAGAUAAUAAAAUA